AUUGAACGCUGGCGGCAGGCCUAACACAUGCAAGUCGUGCGGUAGAGAGAAGCUUGCUUCUCUUGAGAGCGGCGGACGGGUGAGUAAUGCCUAGGAAUCUGCCUGAUAGUGGGGGAUAACGUCCGGAAACGGACGCUAAUACCGCAUACGUCCUACGGGAGCAAGUGGGGGCUCUUCGGACCUCACGCUAUCAGAUGAGCCUAGGUCGGAUUAGCUAGUUGGUGGGGUAAAGGCUUACCAAGGCGACGAUCCGUAACUGGUCUGAGCGGAUGAUCAGUCACACUGGAACUGAGACACGGUCCAGACUCCUCCGGGAGGCAGCAGUGGGGAAUAUUGGACAAUGGGGGAAAGCCUGAUCCAGCCAUGCCGCGUGUGUGAAGAAGGUCUUCGGAUUGUCAAGCACUUUAAGUUGGGAGGAAGGGUCGUUACCUAAUACGUGGCGAUUUUGACGUUACCGACAGAAUAAGCACCGGCUAACUCUGUGCCAGCCGCCGCCGUAACAC
rnacentral:rRNA from 1 species